AUGGGGAUUUCUCCCACCCACCUCUCAACAGCCUACCCACUUUCCACACCAGUCCAGAGAGGCUGGGCAAACAAGACCCCGCGUUCGGACAAUUUGUCCGUACAAAACACAGGGAUUUGGGGACCUACAGACACUCUUACAGACAAAUGUGUCUCUCAGGGGAGUUUUGGAGCAAUUAUUCACACCUGCUGCAAUGGGUGGAUCAACCAUAUGCCCAUGGACAUGCACACUCAAUGACAAAGGCGGAUACCAACAGGUCCUCUCUGACACAAAGCGCCUUGGGGCUGAGGGAGGCGGGCGAGACGAGGGGUGCAUUUUAACCUGAGACGUCCCUCACACAAGUAAAUAUUCUCACACACACCCCACCGCAUGCCACCCACACAGUAAUAUGAAGAUGCGACAUUGAUACAAACUAAGCCUGGGGAGAUUGUGAAAAUGAUGUUUUGUUGUGUUGUUUUUGAAAGGUCUUGGUUUGUGCGGGUGAUGUUAUUGUGUGUUUAAAAUGUAUAGAGCAAGAGGGAGGGACAGUAAGAAAGAAAAGCACUUUUUUUGGAGGGGGCCAAUCUGUUGCAGAUCUGGAUGAAGUCUUGUGAUGGAGAGACAGCAUGUAAAGCGACAUAUGUGACACAGAGGGACAAUAGGAUUAUGGUCCUCUUCUAGUUAUCCGUGCCUUUGGACAGUGGGAUUAUCAUCUGGGGAGUGAAGAUCUCGGGCCACUAAGCUUCAGUGCGGCCCGGUUCCUCAUCUCUUGUGUGGGGUGGGAAAGCAGGGGUAAAGGGGGUCCCCUGGAGAGUGGGCAGCUAUCAGGACUUACAUAUUCAUCAGAGAUCAGAGCUAUGUUCUCUUUCUUUCACUUUUCUCUCUUCUUUUUCCUCUCUUUUUUUUUGCAUACACAUGCUCGGACAUGCUGAGAUGUCUUUUUACUGCUUCUAAAUAUUCAGCACCCACAAAUACAAAGAUGUUCAAAGUUUACUCAUGAAAACGCUUCAAAUUUUCCAGAAUUAUUGUUAAUAUGGUUAAUAUUUUUAUAUUAUGGUAUAUAUGUUAUAUGUAAAGAGGUUUAAAGUUCACUUGAAAAUGCUUCUGUUUUUGUU
rnacentral:lncRNA from 1 species